rnacentral:rRNA from 1 species
AGAGCUAUAAUCAAAACUUUAAUCUUUAAAUUAUUACUUUCAAAUCCACCUUAAAAUUAUUAUUUCAAAUAAUUAUCCGUAUAAAUAAUUUUAUUGUAAUCCAUUAAUACUUAACCAUAAACUGCACCUUGACCUGACAUUAAUUAUAAUAAUAAAUUAAGAAAAUUAUUUCUCUUUUAAGACAUUCUGAUGACGGCGAUAUACAAAUUAAACAAAAUUAAGUAAGGUCCAUCGUGGAUUAUCGAUUACAAAACAGAUUCCUCUGAAUAGACUAAAACACCGCCAAAUUCUUUAAGUUUCAAGAAUAUAACUAUUACUACUCAAGCAUUAUUAUUAAAUUUUAAAUAAUAGGGUAUCUAAUCCUAGUUUAUAUUUAAAAGUUUAUAGCUUAAAUAAAAUAAAAAAAAAAUUAUAUAAAUUUUAAAAUUUCACCUAAAAAAUUUAUUAUAAUUUUUAUAUAAUCAAUUUAACUAAAACUAAUAUUAUUUAUUUGU